rnacentral:rRNA from 1 species
AUUGAACGCUGGCGGCAGGCUUAACACAUGCAAGUCGAGCGAGCGGCGGACGGGUGAGUAAUGUAUGGGAAACUGCCUGAUGGAGGGGGAUAACUAAUGGAAACGGUAGCUAAUACCGCAUACCAUCAGAUGUGCCCAGAUUGGAUUUGCUAGUAGGUUGGGUAAUGGCUCACCUAGGCGACGAUCCCUAGCUGGUCUGAGAGGAUGACCAGGCAAACUGGAACCGAGACAAGGUCCAGACUCCUACGGGGGGCAGCAGUGGGGAAUUUUGCAAAAGUGGCGAAAGCCCGAUGCAGGCAGGCCGGGGGUAUGAAGAAGGCCUUCGGGUUGUAAAGUACUUUCAGCGGGGAGGCGUUACCCGCAGAAGAAGCACCGGCUAACUCCGGGCCAGCCGCCGCGGUAAUAC